GCUAAACGCGAAGAACCUUACCUGGCCUUGACACGUCCGGAAUUCUGCAGAGAUGCGGAAGUGCCUUCGGGAAUCGGAACACAGGUGCUGCAUGGCUGUCGUCAGCUCGUGUCGUGAGAUGUUGGGUUAAGUCCCGCAACGAGCGCAACCCUUGUCCUUAGUUGCCAGCGAGUAAUGUCGGGAACUCUAAGGAGACUGCCGGUGACAAACCGGAGGAAGGUGGGGAUGACGUCAAGUCCUCAUGGCCCUUACGGCCAGGGCUACACACGUACUACAAUGGUCGGUACAGAGGGUUGCCAAACCGCAAGGUGGAGCCAAUCCCAGAAAGCCGAUCCCAGUCCGGAUCGGAGUCUGCAACUCGACUCCGUGAAGUCGGAAUCGCUAGUAAUCGCGGAUCAGCUAUGCCGCGGUGAAUACGUUCCCGGGUCUUGUACACACCG
rnacentral:rRNA from 1 species